GGUUCUGGAAUGGCUUGAAAAGAUUUCCAACAAUUUAAAUUCAGUCACAUCUUCAAGAGCGUCAACCAAUUCACAUGCUUCUGAGUUAACAGAAAUAGAUCUAACUGGUCUUCUUAAGUCAUCUGUUAGAGGCCAACUUCUCUUGGCAUUUUACGAAAAAAAUGGCCGUUUAGACAGCGAAAGAUUUAAUUCACUGUAUUGUGGAAAGAUUAAUUGGAAACGCUACAAAAAGAAAAAGAGAUAUGGAUUACCUGGCUCACGCCAUAACAGGAAUCUUUCCCACAAAAAUAAAGUACGUAUUUAACAAGCAAAAGAACUGAAUUUUACACUUCACCUCAUAGGACUUUCCACUGAGUCGUAAAUGACUUCAUAUCAUGUCCAGUUAUAGACAUUUAGAUUGAGGAGGUUGUAAUUAGUUAUAGGUUAAGGUUAUAGGCAAAACCAAGUUUAGAACUUAGUGGGAAAAACCUGCAUUAUUUGCGAAUCCAAUCGCUGUACUUCUAUUUAUUAAUGCAUAUAGUUUUUUUUUUUUAUUUUAAAGUGUUUUAUAUUUCUAGGAAACUUACUACUUAGGUCGAAAAAUUGGGAUAAAAAAUUCAACAGGCAAAUUGUUUUCACGUUGUGGAACAUAAAAUCAUGGAAAAUAAUUGUUGGAGCUGAAGAACAAGAUCUUAUUUCGGAAGAGGAAUAUUCUGAAAAAAAAAGUGUUGGCUUCAACAUAAUUUUUCCACUUAAAAAAUUUAAGAUAUUACUGGAUUAAGAACAUCAAAACUAAGAACUUUGCAAUUCCAAACAUAGGAACAGCUGUCAUUGACAACACUGUUGCUACAUUGGCCUAUUGCUAUUAUAAUUACUCCUAUUUUGUUACCUUUCAUGGCAAAAACAAAAAACAAUAAACAUGUUUGAAAAAAGAUA